GACGAACGCUGGCGGCGUGCCUAACACAUGCAAGUCGAACGGAGCACUUCGGUGCUUAGUGGCGAACGGGUGAGUAACGCGUGAGAAACCUACCUUUCAGUGGGGGACAACAGUUGGAAACGACUGCUAAUACCGCAUAAUGUUAUUUGGGGGCAUCCCUGAAUAACCAAAGCUUUAUGUGCUGAAAGAUGGUCUCGCGUCUGAUUAGCUAGUUGGUGAGGUAACGGCUCACCAAGGCGACGAUCAGUAGCCGGUCUGAGAGGAUGAACGGCCACAUUGGGACUGAGAUACGGCCCAGACUCCUACGGGAGGCAGCAGUGGGGAAUAUUGGGCAAUGGGGGAAACCCUGACCCAGCAACGCCGCGUGAAGGAAGAAGGCCUUCGGGUUGUAAACUUCUUUUACCAGGGACGAAGAAAGUGACGGUACCUGGAGAAAAAGCAACGGCUAACUACGUG
rnacentral:rRNA from 1 species